RRUUUCUUGCUUGGCCAUCUUGAGUCCCUCGCCGUAACGGUGCGUGAGUGGUGUUUGGCGUGUUACGGGCGAUUGGAUCCCUGCUUGUGCAGCAACUUUCGUCGGUUCACGCCUCUUCAUUUGUGCGUCAAGGUCUCUUGUACCUUGGGCUUCGCUUAUGGGUUUCCUGUGCCGACUACCUACGUGACGGUAUUGCUUUGUUUACGAAGGUCCCUUUUUCGUCAUGCGUUGCUCUGGCGGCGCAAGGCGAACCUUGAAGCGUGCUCUGUGUUCCCUCUCGAUGGUCUUAUCGGUCGUCUGAGAAGGGCACAUGGAGUGUUCGCUUGGUAUCUUGGGUAUGGAACCUUACAUGGGUAUGGGGCCUCUAUGGUCUUGUGUUACCCUAAUCAAACAGCGUUUGCUUAAAGAAAACGACAGCCGAUCAUGUACGGGCACUAGUUCGUACGGUUCGGCUUCGUUGCAAGAGGAAUGC
rnacentral:misc_RNA from 1 species